rnacentral:rRNA from 1 species
GAUGAACGCUGGCGGCGUGCUUAACACAUGCAAGUCGAACGCACAAAUCUUUCGGGGUUUGUGAGUGGCAGACGGGUGCGUAACACGUAGGUGACCUGCCCUGGAGUGGGGAAUAACUGUCCUAACGGACGGCUAAUACCGCAUACGUUCACGGAUUCAUAUCUGUGAGUAAAGCAGCAAUGCGCUUUGGGAGGGGCCUGCGGCGGAUUAGGUAGUUGGUGGGGUAACGGCCUACCAAGCCGAUGAUCCGUAGGGGGCGUGAGAGCGUGGCCCCCCACACUGGCACUGAGAUACGGGCCAGACUCCUACGGGUGGCUG